UACAGGGGGGGCAAGCGUUGUUCGGAAUUACUGGGCGUAAAGGGUCUGUAGGUGGCCAACUAAGUCAGACGUGAAAUCCCUCAGCUUAACUGGGGAACUGCGUCUGAUACUGGAUGGCUUGAGUGUGGGAGGGGAAUGCGGAAUUCCAGGUGUAGCGGUGAAAUGCGUAGAUAUCGGGAGGAACACCUGUGGCGAAAGCGGCGCACUGGACCACAACUGACGCUGAGGCGCGAAAGCUAGGGGAGCAAACAGG
rnacentral:rRNA from 1 species